rnacentral:rRNA from 1 species
GUGGGGAAUAUUGGGCAAUGGGGGCAACCCUGACCCAGCGACGCCGCGUGGGUGAAGAAAUCCCUCGGGAUGUAAAGCCCUGUUGUAUGGGAAGAGCAGAAGACGGUACCAUACGAGGAAGCCCCGGCAAACUACGUGCCAGCAGCCGCGGUAAUACGUAGGGGGCAAGCGUUGUCCGGAAUUACUGGGCGUAAAGCGCACGCAGGCUGAAUUAUAAGUCGGUAGUCAAAUACGGAGGCUCAACUUCCGGAUAUCUAUCGAUACUGUAAAUCUAGGGUAUGUGAGAGGGAAGCGGAAUUCCCGGUGGAGCGGUGAAAUGCGUAGAUAUCGGGAGGAACACCAGUGGCGAAGGCGGCUUCCUGGCACAAUACUGACGCUCAUGUGCGAAAGCUAGGGCAGCGAACGGGAUUAGAUACCCUUGUAGUCC